GACGAACGCUGGCGGCGUGCUUAACACAUGCAAGUCGUACGGUAAGGCCCUUUCGGUGGUCCACUAGUGGCGAACGGGUGAGUAACACGUGAGUAACCUUCCCACAACUUUGGGAUAACGCUAGGAAACUGGUGCUAAUACUGGAUAUGUGCUCCUGCUGCAUGGGGGGGGUUGGAAAGCUCCGGCGGGUGUGGAUGGACUCGCGGCCUAUCAGCUUGUUGGUGUGGUAGUGGCCUACCAAGGCGGCGACGGGUAGCCGGCCUGAGAGGGUGACCGGCCACAUUGGGACUGAGAUACGGCCCAGAUUGCUAAGGGAGGCAGAAGUGGGGAAUAUUGCACAAUGGGCGCAAGCCUGAUGCAGCAACGCCGCGUGCGGGAUGACGGCCUUCGGGUUGUAAACCGCUUUCAGCAGGGACGAAGCUUUUUGUGACGGUACCUGCAGAAGAAGCACCGGCUAACUACGUG
rnacentral:rRNA from 1 species